rnacentral:rRNA from 1 species
AGAGAGAGACAUGCGCGCAUAUCAAUAAGCGGAGGAAAAGAAACUAACAAGGAUUCCCUUAGUAACGGCGAGUGAAGCGGGAAGAGCUCAAAUUUGAAAUCUUCAAGGUUUUACCUUGACGAAUUGUAGUUUAAAGAAGUGUUUUCUGCUGAAGUUUUGGUAAAAGUUCUUUGGAAUAGGACAUCAUAGAGGGUGAGAAUCCCGUAUUUGACCAUUAUUUUCAGCUUUGUGAUACACUUUCAAAGAGUCGGAUUGUUUGGGAAUGCAGUCCAAAAUGGGUGGUAAAUCUCAUCUAAAGCUAAAUAUUGGCGAGAGACCGAUAGCGAACAAGUACCGUGAGGGAAAGAUGAAAAGAACUUUGAAAAGAGAGUUAAACAGUACGUGAAAUUGUCAAAAGGGAAGCGUUUGACACCAGUGUUGUUUUCUCGAAAAUCAAUUAAAAAUGGCUCGAUUUUGUAUUGUUGAGACCUUAAAAGCUCACUGUACAUUUUUCGUGUCUUUUUUAAUGCACUUUUCGUUUAACAAGUCAACAUCAGUUUCUUUUGUUGUAAAAGGGUCAUUGGAAGGUGGCUUUCUUUUCGGAGAAAGUGUUUAUAGCCUUUGGCCUCUGCAAUCGGAAGAGACUGAGGUCUGCAGCGUAGACUCUUCGGGGUUAGAUACAUUUGUGCUAAGUUAUAGCUUUUUAUAGACAACUUGUUGACUAUAAUUAGUCUUGUAGCUUACUCGCUUAUGCUAUUUUACCUACGCUUAGGAUGUUGAAGUCAUCGUAUCGCGC